rnacentral:rRNA from 1 species
UACGUAGGGUGCGAGCGUUAAUCGGAAUUACUGGGCGUAAAGUGUGCGCAGGCGGCCGAGCAAGUCGAGUGUGAAAGCCCCGAGCUUAACUUGGGAACUGCGCUCGAAACUACUUGGCUGGAGUGUGGCAGAGGAAGGUGGAAUUCCACGUGUAGCGGUGAAAUGCGUAGAGAUGUGGAGGAACACCGGUGGCGAAGGCGGCCAUCUGGACGAGUACUGACGCUGAGACGCGAAAGCGUGGGGAGCAAACAGG